rnacentral:rRNA from 1 species
GUACAUGGCCAAACCUCCUUGUCAAAACCUGAUCUUGUCAGAUUGCAGAAGCUAAGCAGGGCUGGGCCUGGUUAGUACGUAGAUGGGAGACCACUGGGAAUACCAGGUGUCACAGUACG